rnacentral:rRNA from 1 species
UGGGGAAUAUUGGACAAUGGGCGCAAGCCUGAUCCAGCCAUGCCGCGUGAGUGAUGAAGGCCUUAGGGUUGUAAAGCUCUUUCACCGGUGAAGAUAAUGACGGUAACCGGAGAAGAAGCCCCGGCUAACUUCGUGCCAGCAGCCGCGGUAAUACGAAGGGGGCUAGCGUUGUUCGGAAUUACUGGGGCGUAAAGCGCACGUAGGCGGACAUUUAAGUCAGGGGUGAAAUCCCGGGGCUCAACUCGGAACUGCCUUUGAUACUGGGUGUCUUUGAGUAUGGGAAGAGGUAAGUGGAAUUGCGAGUGUAGAGGUGAAAUUCGUAGAUAUUCGCAGGAACACCAGUGGCGAAGGCGGCUUACUGGUCCAUUGCUGACGCUGAGGUGCGAAAAGCGUGGGGAGCAAAACAGGAUUNGAUACCCUGGUAGUCCACGCCGUAAACGAUGAGUGCUAGCCGUCGGGGCAGUUUACUGUUCGGUGGCGCAGCUAACGCAUUAAGCA